GACUAACGGCUGGCGGCGUGCCUAAUACAUGCAAGUCGAACGGGAUUCUUGAUCAGCUUGCUGAGAGAAGGAUCUAGUGGCGGACGGGUGAGUAACGCGUGGGAAUCUGCCUCUUACUGGGGGAUAACAGUGGGAAACUACUGCUAAUACCGCAUAAGAUCUUCGGAUGAAAGGUGCAACUGCACCGGUAAGAGAUGAGCCCGCGUCCCAUUAGCUAGUUGGUGAGGUAAAGGCUCACCAAGGCGACGAUGGGUAGCCGGCCUGAGAGGGUGAACGGCCACACUGGGACUGAGACACGGCCCAGACUCCUACGGGAGGCAGCAGUAGGGAAUCUUCCGCAAUGGGCGCAAGCCUGACGGAGCGACGCCGCGUGAGUGAUGAAGGCCUUCGGGUCGUAAAGCUCUGUUCUUGAGGACGAAUAAGCCAGGGAGUGGAAAGCCCUGGUGAUGACUGUACUCAAGGAGAAAGCUCCGGCUAACUACGUG
rnacentral:rRNA from 1 species